UGGGGGAUAUUGCACAAUGGGCGAAAGCCUGAUGCAGCGACGCCGCGUGGGGGAUGAAGGCCUACGGGUUGUAAACUUCUUUUGCUCUGAACAAGGCAUGCUAAUGGGUGUGUUGAGUGUAGGGGUUGAUUAGCGCCGGCUAACUACGUGCCAGCAGCCGCGGUAAUACGUAGGGCGCGAGCGUUGUCCGGAAUUAUUGGGCGUAAAGGGCUUGUAGGUGGCUGGUUGCGUCUGUCGUGAAAGCUCAUGGCUUAACUGUGGGUUUGCGGUGGGUACGGGCUGGCUUGAGUGCAGUAGGGGAGGCUGGAAUUCCUGGUGUAGCGGUGGAAUGCGCAGAUAUCAGGAGGAAUACCGGUGGCGAAGGCGGGUCUCUGGGCUGUUACUGACACUGAGGAGCGAAAGCAUGGGGAGCGAACAGG
rnacentral:rRNA from 1 species